UUCCUACGGGCGGCUGCAGUGGGGAAUAUUGCACAAUGGGCGCAAGCCUGAUGCAGCGACGCCGCGUGGGGGAUGACGGCCUUCGGGUUGUAAACCUCUUUCAGUAGGGACGAAGCGCAAGUGACGGUACCUACAGAAGAAGCACCGGCCAACUACGUGCCAGCAGCCGCGGUAAUACGUAGGGUGCGAGCGUUGUCCGGAAUUACUGGGCGUAAAGAGCUCGUAGGUGGUUUGUCGCGUUGUCCGUGAAAUCUCACAACUCAAUUGUGAGCGUGCGGGCGAUACGGGCAGACUGGAGUACUGCAGGGGAGACUGGAAUUCCUGGUGUAGCGGUGGAAUGCGCAGAUAUCAGGAGGAACACCGGUGGCGAAGGCGGGUCUCUGGGCAGUAACUGACGCUGAGGAGCGAAAGCGUGGGGAGCGAACAGGAUUAGAUACCCUUGUAGUC
rnacentral:rRNA from 1 species